UUCAUUGCAGACCCAGGAGGACGUGUGAUGCUGCAAGCAAAUGAAGGCCAUGCUCCUGGCUAGGAGGCUGGGCUGUGACCUGGAUUCAGUUCGCUGCUCUGCUAUUCAUCUCUCAUGUUUCCUCAGGCACAUCACCGUCCCAGAAGCUUUUCAUCUGCCACGGAAGGAAAUACUUAACACCAUCAGAGAUCUGAAUCUCCCUUGUUUGAAGUGUUGCCAGCACAGCUGCAGAGUGCAUCUCAGAUUAAUGGGAGCCAUGACAAACAGAAUGAGUUACCCGCAUGCAAACUUUUCAUCAAAUAUGCACAGCAGGUAACAGAAGCUCCACUGUGCAUGCCAAGUUGUGAUGAGAAGCGUUACCAAGUAUGUUUCAACACCAUGACUGCAAGUGAAGGCAACUCUUGGAAUCCACAUUUAAUCUACUCUG